UACGAAGGGGGCUAGCGUUGCUCGGAAUUACUGGGCGUAAAGCGCGUGUAGGCGGCGUCGUUAGUCGGAUGUGAAAGCCCUCGGCUCAACCGAGGAAGUGCAUCCGAUACUGCGAUGCUUGAGUGUUGGAGGGGGUGGCGGAAUUCCCGGUGUAGAGGUGAAAUUCGUAGAUAUCUGGAGGAACACCGGUGGCGAAGGCGGCUACCUGGCCCAACAUUGACACUGAGACCCGAAAGCGUGGGGAUCAAACAGG
rnacentral:rRNA from 1 species